rnacentral:rRNA from 1 species
GGCCCACCAAGGCGACGAUGCGUAGCCGACCUGAGAGGGUGAUCGGCCACACUGGGACUGAGACACGGCCCAGACUCCUACGGGAGGCAGCAGUAGGGAAUCUUCGGCAAUGGGCGAAAGCCUGACCGAGCAACGCCGCGUGAGUGAUGAAGGCUUUCGGGUCGUAAAACUCUGUUGCCAGAGAAGAACGGUAGGUAGAGUAACUGCUAUCUAUGUGACGGUAUCUGAGAAGAAAGCCCCGGCUAACUACGUGCCAGCAGCCGCGGUAAUACGUAGGGGGCAAGCGUUGUCCGGAAUUAUUGGGCGUAAAGCGCGCGCAGGCGGUUGUUUAAGUCUGGGGUUUAAGUUCGGGGCUCAACCC